GAGGAUCAAGUCAAUGGUACA
rnacentral:snRNA from 1 species